CGCCUUUUUAUCAAAAACAUGUCCUCUUGAAAAUACUUUGAGGUCUGGCCUUCUCACUGAGCAGAUUUUUAAAGAGCUGCGGUAUUUUGACCGUGCAAAGGUAGCAUAAUCAUUAGUCUCUUAAUUAGUGGCUGGAAUGAAUGGCUUGACGAGAAAUCAACUGUCUCUUAAUAAAUUUUUGAAUUUAACUUUUGAGUCAAAAGGCUUAAAUUUUUCUUUAGGACUAGAAGACCCUAUAGAGCUUAACAGUUUAUUUUUAUAUAGUUUUUUGUUUGUCUUUCUAUAUUUAAUGAUGAUGUUUUGUUGGGGUGACAUGAAGAAUAAAUAAACUCUUCAUUAUUAUAUCAUUUAUUUAUGUUUGUUGUUUUGAUCCAUAAUUUAUGAUCAUUAGAUUAAGUUACCUUAGGGAUAACAGCGUAAUUGUUUUUGAGAGCUCAUAUCGACAAAGCAGAUUGCGACCUCGAUGUUGGAUUAAGAAAAAUUUUGGGUGCAGUAGCCCAGUGAUUAGGUCUGUUCGACCUUUAAAUUCUUACAUGAUCUGAG